GACAGAGGAUGCAAGCGUUAUCCGGAAUGAUUGGGCGUAAAGCGUCUGUAGGUGGCUUUUCAAGUCCGCCGUCAAAUCCCAGGGCUCAACCCUGGACAGGCGGUGGAAACUACCAAGCUGGAGUACGGUAGGGGCAGAGGGAAUUUCCGGUGGAGCGGUGAAGUGCAUUGAGAUCGGAAAGACACCAACGGCGAAAGCACUCUAGCUGGGCCGACACUGACACUGAGAGACGAAAGCUAGGGGAGCAAAUGGAUU
rnacentral:rRNA from 1 species